rnacentral:rRNA from 1 species
UCUGCUGUGGAAACGCAACGCUUAACGUUGCGCGUGCAGUGGGUACGGGCUGACUAGAGUGCAGUAGGGGAGUCUGGAAUUCCUGGUGUAGCGGUGAAAUGCGCAGAUAUCAGGAGGAACACCGGUGGCGAAGGCGGGACUCUGGGCUGUAACUGACACUGAGGAGCGAAAGCAUGGGGAGCGAACAGGAUUAGAUACCCUGGUAGUCCAUGCCGUAAACGUUGGGCACUAGGUGUGGGGGACAUUCCACGUUCUCCGCGCCGUAGCUAACGCAUUAAGUGCCCCGCCUGGGGAGUACGGUCGCAAGGCUAAAACUCAAAGGAAUUGACGGGGGCCCGCACAAGCGGCGGAGCAUGCGGAUUAAUUCGAUGCAACGCGAAGAACCUUACCAAGGCUUGACAUACACUAGACCGUCCUGGAAACAGGUCCUCCUCUUUGAGGUUGGUGUACAGGUGGUGCAUGGUUGUCGUCAGCUCGUGUCGUGAGAUGUUGGGUUAAGUCCCGCAACGAGCGCAACCCUCGUUCUAUGUUGCCAGCACGUAAUGGUGGGAACUCAUAGGAGACUGCCGGGGUCAACUCGGAGGAAGGUGGGGAUGACGUCAAAUCAUCAUGCCCUUUAUGUCUUGGGCUUCACGCAUGCUACAAUGGCUGGUACAGAGAGAUGCGAGACCGUGAGGUUUUAGCGAAUCCCUUAAAGCCAGUCUCAGUUCGGAUCGUAGUCUGCAAUUCGACUACGUGAA